GAAACAGAAACAGCUGUGUAGGAGCUUUAAUCUCUGCUACUGAGGUGAGGUUGUGGAGGACAGUUUCAUGUCACAAGACCUACACUAUAGCAAGGCUGAGCACAGCAACAAGAUCCAAGGCAACAGUGAAGUCCUGGAAGUGAGUUUUGGCCUACUCAUCUCAACAUCAUCGUGUCUGUCUGGGAUUCCAUGAAGAGACAGAAGGAUUUGAGGAGCCUCCAUCCACAGAAGAUCUGAGACAUCCUGGGCUUUAAAUGCUGUACUGCUGUACAACCUCCUGCAGGAGAGCAUGCAUAUGACACGUGAGCUACUCAUAUGAUUUGUCUGUGAAAGUUUGAAAGGUGAAGAGAAGAAUAAAGGGAAUAAAGCACACCUCUGGGUGUAAUGGAGUGGAGUGAAGAUGGUGGUUUUUUCUCCCUCUCUGGUUGGGAUUGUGUUGUUAGUAAGGUGAGCACGUCUCUGUGAGGCAGAAGGUCAGCUCCUGCAUCCUGCACUGUGUGAUGGAGAGAGAAACACUCUGUCCUUCAGCACGUCAGGAUGAGUGUGUGGUGGUGUGUUCUUCUGCUCAGUGCAGUUUAAA